AAAGCGCACGUAGGCGGCUAUUCAAGUCAGAGGUGAAAGCCCGGGGCUCAACCCCGGAACGGCCUUUGAAACUAGGUAGCUAGAAUUCUGGAGAGGUCAGUGGAAUUCCGAGUGUAGAGGUGAAAUUCGUAGAUAUUCGGAAGAACACCAGUGGCGAAGGCGACUGACUGGACAGAUAUUGACGCUGAGGUGCGAAAGCGUGGGGAGCAAACAGGAUUAGAUACCCCGGU
rnacentral:rRNA from 1 species